CAAAAGGUUGACAAUGGAGUGGAGGAAAUUGUGGAAAUUAAUCGAAAUUUCUUUAUUUUUUAGCCUUUAUUUGCAAAAUGACGGUCACUAGAUUGUUUUUAAGGAUAUCUAACAUCAGUUUAUAUUUCUGGAAAUAUGUUUGAGGGUUUGUUUGAGGCUUAAUAAUGGCUACAACGCGAAUUACGAUACCACAAGAAUGGAGGCACGAGGAACGCGACCUUCAAGAAGUCAUUCCCCAGGCUAUUAUAU